rnacentral:rRNA from 1 species
AUGCUUGGCAGCCACCGUCCUAGCAUUGUAGCAAAGUCGAGCUCUGGUUCCAGGAAAAAAUGGAGCGGUUCAAGCAAGAAAACUGGAUGUAGCAAAAAAUCAUACAGCGAAGGCACCAGCAUCCUCUCAAUAUGCAGCAAAAACGAAAGAUGCUUCCAGCAAAAACAAAUUGCGGUUCCAGCAAAAAUUAUGCAGCAAAAAAUCAUGCCGGAACCACGGUGGCAGCGAACAUGGCCUACACUGCGACAUGGGAGAGGUUGGGCCAAGCAUGGCAACAAAAAAAUCGACGGCUGUACGCGCCGUCUCUGCGUGGAGCAUGAGAUGCCAUGGAUGAAGUGA